rnacentral:rRNA from 1 species
GACGAACCACACAAACGUUAUUCGGAAUUACUGGGCUUAAAGGGUGCGUAGGCGGCGCGGAAAGUAGGGUGUGAAAUCCUUCGGCUCAACCGAGGAAUUGCGCCCUAAACUACCGUGCUCGAGGGAGAUAGAGGUGAGCGGAACUUAGGGUGGAGCGGUGAAAUGCGUAGAUAUCGGGAGGAACACCUGUGGCGAAAGCGGACGCACUGGACCACAACUGACGCUGAGGCGCGAAAGCUAGGGGAGCAAACAGG